rnacentral:rRNA from 1 species
UGGGGAAUAUUGCACAAUGGGCGCAAGCCUGAUGCAGCCAUGCCGCGUGUGUGAAGAAGGCCUUCGGGUUGUAAAGCACUUUCAGCGGGGAGGAAGGCGAUAAGGUUAAUAACCUCAUCGAUUGACGUUACCCGCAGAAGAAGCACCGGCUAACUCCGUGCCAGCAGCCGCGGUAAUACGGAGGGUGCAAGCGUUAAUCGGAAUUACUGGGCGUAAAGCGCACGCAGGCGGUCUGUCAAGUCGGAUGUGAAAUCCCCGGGCUCAACCUGGGAACUGCAUUCGAAACUGGCAGGCUAGAGUCUUGUAGAGGGGGGUAGAAUUCCAGGUGUAGCGGUGAAAUGCGUAGAGAUCUGGAGGAAUACCGGUGGCGAAGGCGGCCCCCUGGACAAAGACUGACGCUCAGGUGCGAAAGCGUGGGGAACAAACAGG